rnacentral:tRNA from 1 species
GCGGUAAUAGCUCAGUGGUAGAGCCUCGCUUCGCAUGCGGGGAGACCCGGGUUUGAUUCCCGGUUGCUUCC